UCGAGGACCUGGUACUCAAGAGGGGGCUCAUGUCCUAUCAGCUUGUUGGUGGGGUAACGGCCUACCAAGGCUACGACGGGUAGCUGGUCUGANAGGGUGAUCAGCCACACUGGCACUGAGAUACGGGCCAGACUCCUACGGGAGGCAGCAGUGAGGAAUAUUGCGCAAUGGGCGAAAGCCUGACGCAGCGACGCCGCGUGGAGGAUGAAGGUUUUCGGAUUGUAAACCCCUUCAUGAGGAAAGAUAAAGUGGGUAACCACUUAGACGGUACCUCAAGAAGAAGCCACGGCUAACUUCGUG
rnacentral:rRNA from 1 species